GGGCAGUGUUUUGACAGGGCAAACUGAAGAGAAAGAACUGGGCGAGCGAGGGGGACCGGGAGCUGGGGCUCCAGAGCUAGAGGCAGCGGGCGGGCGAAGAGCUGGCAGAGGCGCGGGGCGAGCGGGCCGGACGGGGCGACGGGCAGGCGAAGCCCGGGGGCAGCGGGGCUCGGGUGCGAGUCGGGCAGGCAGGGCGAGGGGCUGAGCGCCGGGAGCGGAGCGAGGCGGAGGCCGAGGCGGGGGUGGAUGGCCACAGGGGCGCCGGGGAGCCGCGUCGGGCUUGUUGUCUCGGGCCCCCAUGGUCCUCUAACGCAGCCCCGGGGGCCGCUGCGCGCCACAUUCCGCUUUCGCCGGCCCUGCGCCUCUCGGAGCCUCACGUCUGAGGUGGGAGUGUGAUGUGAGCCGCUGGGCGAGCGGCGGAGAGAAGUGCCAAGAGGAGGAGGGAUUGGGACGGGAGAGGAGAGCGAGUUAGUCAGCAGAGGUCGGCCGAGGGAGCCAUGAAAACAACUCUCCGGCGGGGAAAAGGGCUGGCGCGGCGCUCCGGACGGCGUGGCUGAAGGAAAUCAGGGCCGCGGCGGGACGGAAGGGGGCCGCACGGGCAGGCUGCGCCGAGCAGGGGCGAGCGCCCGGCCGUAAACACCUUCCCGGGAAGACCUCGCAGGGCCGGGGGGUGGCAGGGGCGCCCCGGGACAGCCCAGUAGAGUUCGUUUGGGACUGGGGGCUGGGCACGAGGAGAUGACUCGCGUUUCUUUCUGACCCUCUCAUUGUGUCAACUUGGCCGCGGUUGAGGCAGGAAGACUAGCCAGAGGGUAACUACACAGGUGAGGCCCGGCGGGGCGGGCGGAGCUGUAGGCGAGGCGCUUGGGGUCUUGAAGAGUUUCCUGCGCCCAAGUCACCAGGUCGGAGCAUUUCUAUACCAGCCACUGCGGAGGUGCCACUGUUCCCAGCGGUAUUUUUCUUACAAAGGGCAUUUUAAAAACGGAGCAGUAGCCACAGAAUCGGCGGCGAGCCUGUUGAAAGAACCCACACGUGUAUUUCACAGCACCUUGGGUGGAAAUUGGCGUGAAGAUGAAGCCAGACCGAGAUUCCAGCUGGUAAGGUAGAGAAGGGCGCAUGGAAGAGUUAGGAACUAGAUGGGAGAAUACAUUCUUCAAAAGUGUCUUCAAAGUAUUAGUUUCAAGAGAUAUUAAAAAUGAAAUUGCCAAGAACAGCACGUGUAUCUGUUGCCACAAUACUUGGUAUCAUUUUAGAGUUACAUUACUCAUUUUUAGGUUCAAUCUAACUUCGAUUUUAAAGAAGUUUAAAAGUUUUUUCAACUUGAGAAUUUGAUCUUGAUAAACUGAGAAAAUUUAAAAUUGAGUUCACAAAUAUUAUUUGUCAUUGCUGAUUUUUGUGCUUUAGGCAAACUCUAAAAGUUUGCAGAGUACUCCAGGGCUUUGUCCAGUAUAUCAGUAUAUACACAGGGCUACUGAAAUCCCUAUAAUAAGUAACUGUAAAUGUGCCAUUUCCUUAAUAAACCUGUAUUUUCAGGACUUAUGGGAAUAAUGCAUAUACUGUGUUUCUCAAGGAUUUCAAAGGAAUUGAAAACUCAUUUAUCAAUCUGCUUUUGAUUGGCCAUUGCAAGGACCAACUUUAGAAGAUUUUAAUAUAGUGGUAGUAGGAGUUUGUCAUAUGGGAAUUUGAGUCCAAGGAACAUUGUAGGAAGAGGAUUAAUGUAUUUGGUAGGGAGUUGGACUAGAUGACAGAGUUCCUUCCGAAUCUGAGACUUUCAGAUUGGAAAUGUUAAUUUAUCUUUAUGAAUUAGAUGCUUAUUUUAAAAAAGAUAUGGGAGGGCUUCCCUGGUGGUGCAGUGGUUGAGAGUCCGCCUGCCGAUGCAGGGGACACAGGUUCGUGCCCAGGUCCGGGAAGAUCCCACAUGCCGCGGAGUGGCUGGGCCCGUGAGCCAUGGCCGCUGAGCCUGCGCGUCCGGAGCCUGUGCUCCGCAACGGGAGAGGCCACAACAGUGAGAGGCCUGCAUACCGCAAAAAAAAAAAAAAAAAGGGAAAUUCCGUGGCGGUCCAGUGGCUAGGACUCCGUGCUUCUUCUGCAGGGGGCACAGGUUUGAUCCUUGGUGGGGGAACUAAGAUCCCGCAGGCCUCGACAUGGCAGUCAAUCGAUCAAUCAAUAAAUGAUAAUUUAAAAGAAUAAAAUAAAAUAAUUUUAAAAGAUAUAUAUUAAACUGGUUAUUUUUUCCAUAUAUUUUUUCAAACUGGAUUAGAAAGUCAAAUUUUCUUUUCUAUUAAAAUACAUCUUUGGUAAUACUGUCUUAAAAUGCACUAGAAAGAAGUGGAGAAAGCCAUACUUAAUUUAGUGGAUUAGUUUAAGUGUUUGGUUGUUUCUUAAAAUCAGCUUUGUAUGAAUUAAGUAUUAGCAAGAAUAUUGUUACUAAGCAGGUUGCUUGUGUAGAAUGCCAAGUUUAGACUUUUAGAUUUCAUCUGUGACUUUGGAAAGAUGGCACCAAGGUCGGUAAUUGCAUCUCAAAAUAAACAAGCAAAGAAAAUCAGAGUUGCUCUUUGUUUUUUGUUUUUGUUUUGGUGGUUGUUGCAAAAGUCGCUUUAAGGUCCUACACAGGUUUGUUUGUUUGUUUGUUUAUUUUAAAAAUUUUGGCUGUACCAGGUCUUUGUUGAGGCACGCGGGAUCUUUUAGUUGCCUCAUGCACGCGGGAUUUAGUUUCCUGACCAGGGAUGGAACCUGAACCCCCUGCAUUGGGAGGGCAGAGACUUACCCACUGGACCGCCAGGGAAGUCCCCUAAGCAGUUAAAAAAAAUAGUAUUUGCACACAAUCUCUAUUUUAGCCAAAACUAGUACUAAACACAAUAAAAUGUUAUAUAUUAAUGUAGAUUACUAGGAAAAGUAAAUACAUUUAUGCAUCAAGACUCCUAAAAAGGAGACUUUUUUCUCGUUAAAAUUGUAGCUAUCUUUAGCAUUAUGAUGUAAAAAUGAGGUGAUUGAAAGUUUAGUAUUGUGACUAUAUUUUAUAAUAUGAGUCUUUAGGCCCAUGGCUUUCUUUUGACCAGGACCUAGAGUAAGAAGUAUCUUUUACUUUGCAAAGUAGUAUAGAAAUACUGAAAUAAACUUUACAAAACAUACUUACUCGUACUAUGUGCAGUGUGGUCUUGUACUUUCUGUUCUAUUUCUGUUGUUAAAAAUUGCUUGCAUAAUCCAUUGAAUUGAUUUCUUGACCUGUGGUUGGCAAGGCACAAUUAUGGGAGAGCUUGACAACAGUAAUACUUCACUUUUUCUACAUUGGUAACUAAGAAGCUAUUCUAUAUGAGUUAAUUUUCUGGCUAACUGAAACUUUACUCUUCAAAUGCCAAAAAUAUUUUCAGUUGUAAUCAUGAUAUGUGGACACAGAUUUUUUUUUCCUCUAGCUUAAACCACUUCAGCCUAUUUUUUUUAAGAUCUGAUUUUUGAAUUCCCAUGCUGUCAACAGUCUUUGUUGUCAGUAUGCUUAUUCUUGUCUCCUUUUAAUUUUACUGCUUUUAGUCUCUGGGAUAAAGAACUAGAUAACCAUGCUUAGCACUGAGUUCUCUAAAAAAUGAGAAUAAAUAGGAAAACCUUCAGAUAUUCACUCAGAAGCUAAGAAAGUAUACGAAUUCUAGUGUAGAAACUGUGAGAUAUUUGCUUAGUGGUAUACAGCUGUGCUUCAGAAAGUUUCUAAGUGCAAAAGGACCCUCUUAUCCUACAUGGUUGCAUGUGGUAGUUGGUUGGCUAAUUUAAAAAGUUUAAAUGAGGAAUCAGAAAAAAUAACAGCCUUAAUUAUUUCAUUUGUCUUUUGGUGUAGGCUCAAGGCCCUUUUUUGGGGGGUGAAAUGGGGUCUGUUUUUCAGAGUUAGAUAUGAUCUUCCCUAUGUAAACCACACCAAAAAUGUACACCUAAGAUUUCUACUUUCAAUUUCUUUAAAGUGGAAUAAGACUGCAAAAAAAUCCAAGGGUGGAAUAUUUUACAUUUAAAAAGUGUUAAAUUCUUUUUUAAUGUUUCACACAACUUUAUAGGUGUCUGUGUACACCAGGAAUUACAAGGAUAUUUGUGUAGUCAACAGAAAUUUGUUUUGGGAGGAGAGGGAAUAUAUAUUCAUCAAAAUUAUGUUCAUCAAAAUAUGUGCUUUCCAAAGCAUUCAACGUAGUUUUCACAGAAAUAACCUUUUUGUGCAUUCAUUUCAUUGAUUUAUAUAGUUUUAAAAUAAAUUCACAUAAGCAGAUUUGGGAAGAAACACCAGAUACUACUUAAGCAUACAACUCAACUAGUAGGAGUAGAAGUGUGCAGGCAACUGGAAAGUAACUUAUUAGCUGCUCAUGUCUGUCAGUUUGCUUCUAUGGAAGAUAUGGAAAGCAUUGGACAAUCUUGCUAGUUGAUUAAGUGAAAAUUAAAAGACCUUCUACUGUACUUCCAGAUAAUUAAGAUGUUACUGUACAAUGGCCAUAUUUCACAGUAGUCAAUAGAAUUUUACUAUAGUCUGAGGUAAAUCUUUUUUUUCCUCUUUUUUCUUUUUCUAAAUUUUUCAGCAGUUAUAUAACAUUACUUGUGCAAUGCUGCCAAAGAUGAGUCUUUGAUGUUAUCAUUAGCACAGGUUUUGGAAUCAGACCUGUAUUUGUAUCCUUGUUCCAUUACUUGCUAGCUGUGUAAUCUUCAUUAAUUUCCUUUAUCUUUGAGAGUCUCAGGUUCUUUGUCUGUAAAAUGGGGAUAAUUCCAACUUCUCAUAGUUGUUAGAAUGAAAUACGACACUGGUUGGCACAUAGUAGGUUUUAAAUAAAUGAUCAUUACCAUGUUAAACAAGAUAUUACAGGUGGUUAUAUGUUGGUCGGUUAUAAAAUAUGUUCAACAGAGGUAAAGAAAUAGUCAAAUGUGCAAUAACCUAAUAGUAUCUUGUUUCGUUUUGCAUUCAUAACGUGUAACCUGCUAAGGCUCAAGCAGAUUUAGUAGGCUUUUAAUGUAUAGUUAUCUGAGAAGAUACAAAAGCUAUGAAAGGAUGUUUGAUGUAUGUGUAAUUUAUUUCUGUGUCAUUUGUUAUUACAGUUACAUCUUAACCUCUAUAUGUAGGGGGUGGCAUGGGUGGACCAAGCUUCCUGGAAAUAUAUUUUUAAAUUCUGACUAGAGCUGGGCAGCUGGAGAGGUUAAACAAUGUUACUUCACCUUGUACUCAAGGAUGUAAAGUUUGGAUCUGAUCCUAGUUAGAUAUUGAAUGCCCAGUGUUUCAAGAGAUGUCUGAAGUAUGGUCUUUGCAUAGAAGCAAUUAAAGCAUUUUAUGUUUUUAACAUUUAAUAUUUAUUUAUGGUAUAAAUGUAUGGUAUUUAUAAUCUUGUUUUUGAAUGCAUAUUUUUUCUAUAAAAAUAUUUUUCAAAAUAAUAGAAUAUAA